rnacentral:rRNA from 1 species
AAAUUGAAGAGUUUGAUCAUGGCUCAGAUUGAACGCUGGCGGCAGGCCUAACACAUGCAAGUCGAACGGUAACAGGAAGCAGCUUGCUGCUUCGCUGACGAGUGGCGGACGGGUGAGUAAUGUCUGGGAAACUGCCUGAUGGAGGGGGAUAACUACUGGAAACGGUAGCUA